GAGGACGCAAACCUCGCACAACCGACCAAACAGGCCCACUUCAAUAGAAACAACUCGAUUGCCAUAUGGACGGGGUCACCGUCUGUUGUAGAUGGAUUAAAAGGGGGUGCACUGACUACACUAAGCCCUGGGUACGUACGGAUCUCUUCCCACCACUCUCCAUGUCCCUACACUGUGGAUUUAGUAUCAGACAGACAUCACACACUCCUACACAUGACC